UACGAAGGGGGCUAGCGUUGUUCGGAAUUACUGGGCGUAAAGCGCACGUAGGCGGAUAUUUAAGUCAGGGGUGAAAUCCCAGAACUCAACUCUGGAACUGCCUUUGAUACUGGGUAUCUUGAGUAUGGAAGAGGUAAGUGGAAUUGCGAGUGUAGAGGUGAAAUUCGUAGAUAUUCGCAGGAACACCAGUGGCGAAGGCGGCUUACUGGUCCAUAACUGACGCUGAGG
rnacentral:rRNA from 1 species